rnacentral:rRNA from 1 species
UAAUGUCUGGGAAACGGCCUGAUGGAGGGGGAUAACUGCUGGAAACGGUAGCUAAUACCGCAUAACGUCGCAAGACCAAAGAGGGGGACCGUUCGGGCCUCAUGCCAUCAGAUGUGCCCAGAUGGGAUUAGCUAGUAGGUGGGGUAACGGCUCACCUAGGCGACGAUCCCUAGCUGGUCUGAGAGGAUGACCAGCCACACUGGAACUGAGACACGGUCCAG